rnacentral:lncRNA from 1 species
AAAUGAUAAGAGCAGAUGCACACCAUGACAUAUAAUUACGAUGCAACAACUAUUUUGCAGAUUUGGUGUCUCUAGCAGACCCCACUAUACUUGGUUUUUAAGGUUGAAGCUAAUACAUAUAAUACAACACACACCACAAAUUGAUGAAAUCAGGAUACCGUGUAUGUUUUUGGAAGUAUAUGGAGAUCCCACUUCCCACAUGCAUUAUAUGGCUCACAUAAUAAGACUGGAAACAAACAAACUGUACUAUUGCCUUGCAUAAUUUUUUUGUUCAUAAAUAUGAUAAGUGGUUCGUGUUUUAAGAAUAUCUCCAUCCAACCCCUUAAUUAGUAAUUUAUUCAUGCUACUCUCUCCACAAUAACUCGAGAAUAUUCUUCCCUUCUCUACCAAAAAAAGAAAUAUCAAGCAAUCUUGUCUGCUAGUUUUAAAAUUCUCGACCAACUGAACCCAACACCUACAUCAAAACACAUAGUUUACCUACAACAGCAUACUCAAAUACCUUAUUUUACAAUCAAAAACUAAAUUCAGAGUCAGUACGAUAAUAAAGGAUUCAGGUACUUCCCAGAUGACAUCAGCCAAUUCAAUCCUAUCUGGUAGCCAAGGCCACUUAGAUACCCCUCUUCUUUCGUUAAAUUUAAGCAAAUCAAUAACUACCAACUUAAACGCAAACAAAAAAAAGUUCAACUACUUCACAAAUUUAGCCUAACAAUUAGCAUAAACAAGGCUUCAUCCCAUGCUUCUAUCACCUGUGGGGCCACACACAAAGACCACUUAUAAGUCAUAAUAGUACUUUCUUAUUUUCAUCAAACAACAAUCAAGAAGUACUAGUACAGGAGUACUACAUAAAACAACAAAAUACUUCAGCAAAUAAAGAAAAAACGAUGAAAUCAUCUGGCACACAUAUCAAGCAAACAUCACUUCACACAUAAACUUAACUCAAACUAAACUUAAACCUAACAUAUCUCGAAAACUUUUACUCCCUCCGUCCCACCCAUUUCUUUACAUUUUCCUUUUUGGGAUGUCCCACCUAAUUCUUUACAUUCAAAACUUACCAAAAAUAGUGGAUGAGUCCCACCACUUCUCCACUUUUCUUUCCUUUUCACACUACUUUUACUCUAAUUCUUUACAUUCAAAACUUACCAAAAAUAGUGGAUGAGUCCCACCACUUCUCCACUUUUCUUUCCUUUUCACACUACUUUUACUCCACUAUCUUCUUUUUAUACAUUAAAAAUCAAUGAGUCUCACCACUUUACCCGCUUUUCAUCCUCUUUUCCACUAUUUUAUAUAUAUUUCUUAACCUCGGUGCCCAUCCCAUUCGAU